rnacentral:tmRNA from 1 species
GGGGGUGUACCGGCUUCGACAGUCGGUUUGAGGCGGGGUAAGCAUGCCGCAGGCUCGUCUGCGUAAAAACGGAAAUAAAAAAUAAACGCGAAAAAUACGCAAAAGAACUCCACCAUGGAGUUCGCCCUCGCUGCUUAAUUUAGUCAGCGUGUCGCCCUCGGGUUUUCUGUUCCCCGAGCAAGCGGCAUCAUAAAAACAGACAACGCGGCCCCAUCGCCCGGUAAGGUCGCUGUCAUCACGGGCUUGUCAAGCCGAGGUUCGCCGCCGUACCGAAGCAAGAGACACCUAAACGCCGGCUAAGCAUGUAGAAAGCAUCGUCAACGACCGGUUGGACCGGGGUUCAACUCCCCGCACCUCCACCA